GACUCUCCGACUUUUUAUAGUUUGAGAGCAGUCUACAUUUAAAAGCUGUUUGUGCAGAUCAGCUUGAGGUGGUGCUGACGGCGUUUCUGUCACUUGCUGAAAUGAAUGACGGGCAGACAUGAUGUCACCUGAAAGUCAUAGAGUGUGGCAGGAAAAAUAAUAUGGCCAUGAGGAGCAAGAACAAAAUUAAACACCAGCUGAAGAGUGGGUAUAAGCCCGGCCGUCCCACAAACCAUACACAAUGUGGCUGCGGAUGGGUAGGCUAGAGGGCUCUCAGGCUACUGGGAUUCAGAUACAAAUGACGCAAUCAAAGGCACUUCCUUUUCAGAGGAUGGCCAAUCCGAAGGACAAGCCACCAAUGUGGCGGGCAAGCUGAGCCUGGCAGAAACGUGUUUUCCGUAGAGGCAUAUAACAAGUCACGACAGCCAGUUGCAAUGAAUAAUCUGAAGUAAACUCACUCCUACCUGCCACACCUGGGAGGGUCCCAAAAGCACAGUCCAAGAGCAAUUCCGGAUGUAGAAGAAACUGAGGACACUUGUCUUGUUUUUCCGGAGUUUUCUCACAAGCACCCAGAGAUCUCACAGGGCUCCGUUCUUGGACUGCACUCUGACAGGCGUCUCAGCAAGGGCCGAGGGCCACUGCCUUGCUAUGGGGAGCACUGCCUUGCUAUGGGGAGCACUGCCUUGCUAUGGGGAGCACUGCCUUGCUGUGGGGAGCACUGCCUUGCUGUGGGGAGCACUGCCUUGCUGUGGGGAGGACUGCCUUGCUGUGGGGACGACUGCCUUGCUAGGGGGAGCAUGCCUUGCUAGGGGGAGCAUGCCUUGCUGUGGGGAGCACUGCCUUGCUGUGGGGAGCACUGCCUUGCUAUGGGGAGCAUGCCUUGCUGUGGGGACCACUGCCUUGCUGUGGGGAGCACUGUCUUGCUGUGGGGAGCACUGCCUUGCUGUGGGGAGCACUGCCUUGCUGUGGGGAGCACUGACUUGCUGUGGGGAGCACGCCCUUCCUGAGGCUAGCAGUCACUGAUCAUUGUUAACACAAGGGGUUGUGAGGAUGCUAUCCACAGAUCUUCUGACACUGUCAAACCAAGUGAAACAUUCCACAUGAACUUCGUUGUUUCGGAAAAAACAAAACAAAACAAAACAAAACAAAACAAAAAAACACCACCAGUUAACUGACUGCAAACAGAUGCUGUGAGGGCUGAAAGACCAGACCUGAUCUGGUUUGGAAUACUUAAUGAGAAAGUAAGUGACCUUCGUCUAUGCUUCUCAAAGACAGUCGAGGAAUAUCAAAUGUCCUUCAUUUCAGUCUGAUUUUAGUCCGUUAGUUGGCAAAGUGUCUUUAGCUUGAUAUGAAUAUAAUUGGUUCAAUUGUCAAUUACAUUAGGCUUAAAAGUGUGUUCCAAGUACAAGAUCACAUUGCAUACUCCUUGUAGUUUUGUAAAAAACAAAAACAAAAAAACAACAAAAAAACCUUUAAUUUGAACAACUCCGUUGGAUUAUAAUAUUGAAAAAAACUACUUAGCACAAAAAUUGCCUUUACGGUAGCUAACGUUUCCAGUUAAUAAGGUUCCCUGGCAGGGUCAGAAAGCAUGAUUAGUCUCUGAAACAGGCUAGCGACUUUUAUUAUGAAGUGUUAUUAUUACAAUUUUUGUUAAAUAGUUUUUAUAUUCUGAGCCAGAAAAGUAAGUAGUUCUAUUGUAAACAUUUUAUACUUAUUUUUGUCUGGUAGUUCCUGUUUCAAAUAAGAAAGGAAAGCGAUAUUUCUCUGAGCCUUGUGCUGUUCAAAACUCAUGAAGUCUGUUGCCUCUGACUACAGAGAUGGAAAACAAACAAACAAACAAAAACUUUUUUCCUUCAGUUUAGAAAGGCAGUCUGCCUUUCUGGACUUCAGUGUUACCGGUGGUUGCACGCCAGGUGUUGCUCUUGGGAAAUGAAGGCAUUGAUUAGCAGAGUUUGGCAUUGGGGGGGCAACGGCAAGGCCCUGAGCUGUUUGCACGUGUGCAGACCACUGUUCAGGUGAGCCCCUCACUGUCAGCUCCCAAGAGGUAGUUUUGCAGAACACGUCACUGGAGAGCAUCCUUUCCAUCAGCCUCCCACCUUGGAAUCCUGGGAUACUGACUGCUUGAAUCUCUUUCCUUACAGUGUAUUUUUCCAGGGUCUUGGGGUUGCCAUUGUUGGUUUGCGUUUAACUAUUAGAUAUCCAUCUCUUUUGGUUUGAAAGAACAAUAUAAUCGGAAAUUAAGCAUCUAGCCAACAAGACAAGGGCGAUCUACCAACACAUUGUUAAUUUCCUUCUAAGAAGUUGUGACAGCAAUAACAAAAGAUAAAAAAUUUCCUCAUUCAUUGACUUGGGGAUAGAAACCACAGAGGCAGCAAAAAUGCAAGGAGACAGGGACAGUGACAGAACAAACCUCUGAUUAUUGAUCAUCACUUUCACCUUGAUUAAGAAUCACCUACACAAUUGGCUAUGCGCUACUCUGCCUGGAUUUCUGAGUGCAUUUCUAGAAAUGAUUAAUUAAAAGAGGAGGGCCCACCAAAAUAUGUGUGAGGCCAUACCACGGACUGGGGGACUGGACUGAUCACAGACAGGAGGCUCUUUUGGUUCUAUUAGGCUAUUAAGGUGCUGUCUUACCUUUGUUUCUUGUUGCUGUGAUAAAAUACCCUGACAGAAGCAAUGUAUGGGAGAAAGGUUUUAACUGACUCCAAGUUCCAGGUGCCAUCCAUCCCUGUGGGGAAGUCACAGCAGCAGGAAGUCGAAGGGGUUAAUGGCAUUGCAUCCACGGUCAAGAGCAGAGGGCAGUGAAUUGAUGCAUACAGGCUAGUGCUCAGAUAGUCUUCCUCACUCUUACACAGCUGAGGAUCCUCUGCCUAUGGAAUGAUGCUGCCUACAGUGGCCAGGUUUUCCUGUCUCAAUUACCAUAAUCAAGGUAAUUCCCACAGACACAUCCUCAGGCCAACCUGGUCCAUACAAUCUCUGUCAUCCUAGGUGAUGGUUGAUUGUGAAAACUUUACAAUGAAAACUAACCACCUCAGGGACAGUAACCCAAAUUGUCCUAAAAGUUCUUUCCAGUUGAGAGCAUUUAAUGGGUACUGAGCUAAUUCUUCAAUUGUACUAAUAAAAAUUGCCACGCUCAUACCUAUGAUUUUGCAUUUAUCUUGAGCUUCUUUU